ensembl:lncRNA
GGCAGACUCCUGGGCUAACAGCCCAAGGGACGCACCUCAGUGGCCCCCACCUGUGUCCCUAUCAGCACGCCUGGACCAGCUCAGAACAACGGCCCCCACCAAUGUCUCAGUCUCCGGAGAGGACCCUCCUCUCACCAAGAUGCCCCCAGAGCCCACCAGUUUGUGAGCACUUGGAGGAGAAGAGAAACACAGAGCCCGUGUUUAUUCAUCUCUGUAACCCCGACAUCAGACAGCAUAAAUGCUCCAUGUGUGUUAAAACUGGGAGUAGUCGUGCAGCUUUUGGGGCUCUCCUGGUGUUUGCAGGACAAAGUUUGGCACUCUGUUGAGGAAAAAAACCCAAUAUGGAACAAAUACAGCAACCUUCUCCUUGUCUUCCUGGAACGAAAGUUGAGGCUGGAUCAUAAAUUAUUUAGUAGUACAUCCUUUUUCUUUGGAAUCCAGAAAGCACCUACCAAUAUUUUGGAUAUACUGACACAAAUUCACCACGGCCUUCACUCACUUUUCUCCUUCUCCCUGACCAAGAUGUGAGAAUCAAGAUACACUGCAGCAGAGUAGCAAACCCCAUCGGCUCAGCCAUUCUGACUCUCAUAUUGCUUUGGGCGGUUACCACGAUGCUCACCCUUGCGGAUAUAGACACCCGUGAUUCCUGCAUUACUAAUAUGAUCUCAUCUCUUAUCUAAACUCCUUUGAUGGAACUGGUGGAGAAGUGAUAACCUCUGAAUCAAAGGAAUCUCAAACCACAAGACUCACUGACUAUAAGCAAAAUGACGAUAAAUUUUUAGAGAGGCAGAAGUUUCUUACUUAGGAUUAUUAAAGAAUAUGCUAAAGAAAGAUAAGCAACUUGAGCAGUUACUAAAUAUAUCAAGCACACAUGGGGCUGAGAUAUGUGGGGUGAUUCGCAGCUGAACAAACAAAAUGACUAUUUCUGUAGGGACCCUGAGUAUUUGGUGCUUUGUGAUUGAUGACGCACCCUACUAUUUAAGGAGUGAAGGAGAAUUAUCCUAUCUCAAGUUCAGAAUAGAUUUUUCUCUUCAAGAGAAAAUUAUUUUUAAAUAUUUGAAUGGCGCUUGAGUAAAAUAUGUCUAUCAUAAAAGUUAUCUAACAAUUUACAUUGCCACCAAGAUGACACAGCCUAAGAGCUGUGAUGACAUCAGAGGAAAAUAGAUAUAAUCUAUACAGUACAAGGAACUUCAUUUUUCUUCUUCUGCAAGAAACUGGCUCCAUUACAGUGAUAGUGAUUUUCAGAAAAUGGAUAGUUAUUGAGGUGAGAUUACUUAUGAGGGGAAUGUAGAUUAUUCAGGUGAAAAAGAAUGUAGAGGGGGCCAGCUCUGUGGCCAAGUGGUUAAGUUUGCACGCUCCAAUGCGGUGGCCCAGGGUUCGGAUCCUGGGCGCCGACAUGGCACCGCUCGUCAGGCCACGUUGAGGUGGCGUCCCACAUCCCGCCACAACUAGAAGGACCUGCAACUAAGAUAUACAAAUUUCCUAGAUUGUAUGAUCACCGUAAAAGAGCAGACAAAGCAUAUACUUAUUGGCCCUGUUGUCAUCACUGAACCAAAAUCCACAUGGGAGAAGAUAAAGUAAGAAACAACUUCAAAUUAAAACUAACUUUGAUAAUCAGUAAGGACUAGUCUCAAUACCGUCCAGAGGAGGAAUCACCAGAGCUCAAGUCAAAGUCCAUGAAGACUUCCAUGACCCAGUUUCCUCAGAGCUCAGAAAAGGUCAAACAGAAGCCACUGGCAAAAAGAAGAACCGAAGGACUCCAGUCCUUUGAAAGCCAGCUGAACGGUCAUCGGGAAAGCAUGCCACUACGCCAUGAGAAUACUCAAGCAGCCCAUGGAGAAGCCUAGAGGGGAUCAUGUGAAGCCUUUUGUCAACAAAUAGCAGUAGGUGAGUGAGUCAUCUUGGAAAAGAUCCUAAGCCCCAUGCAAGCCUUUAGGUGACUGUGGCCCUGGACGACCUCUGGACUAUAACCUCAUGAGAGACCCUGAGACAGAAUCACCCAGCUAACUGCUCCCAAGUUCCUGGCCUAUGGAGACUGGGAAGUCAUACAUGUUUAUCGUUACUUUGACCUGCUAUGAUUACAGUAAUUUGUUGUACAGCAAUAGAUACCUAAGACAAAGUCAACCGGUUAUUGUUCUUUCAAAGCCAUGCUUCCAGUGGUUAUUUUUUUCAUACUAAGCACUUUGAUGUUCACAUAUUAAUAAGUUGUUUCAAAAUAACUUGCUCUGUCAUGGUCCUCUGUUUACACGAUAUAAACAUUGUUGAAACAUCUCACUAUGACAAUGAGUUUGCAGUUUCAGUAU